UAAAGAAAGCGUAAUAGCUCACUGGUCGAGUCGGCCUGCGCGGAAGAUGUAACGGGGCUAAACCAUGCACCGAAGCUGCGGCAGCGACGUUUAUGCGUUGUUGGGUAGGGGAGCGUUCUGUAAGCCUGCGAAGGUGGCCUGUGAGGGUUGCUGGAGGUAUCAGAAGUGCGAAUGCUGACAUAAGUAACGAUAAAGCGGGUGAAAAGCCCGCUCGCCGGAAGACCAAGGGUUCCUGUCCAACGUUAAUCGGGGCAGGGUGAGUCGACCCCUAAGGCGAGGCCGAAAGGCGUAGUCGAUGGGAAACGGGUUAAUAUUCCCGUACUUGGUGUUACUGCGAAGGGGGGACGGAGAAGGCUAUGUUGGCCGGGCGACGGUUGUCCCGGUUUAAGCGUGUAGGCUGGUUUUCCAGGCAAAUCCGGUAACUUUAACACUGAGGCGUGAUGACGAGGCACUACGGUGCUGAAGCAACAAAUGCCCUGCUUCCAGGAAAAGCCUCUAAGCAUCAGGUAACACGAAAUCGUACCCCAAACCGACACAGGUGGUCAGGUAGAGAAUACCAAGGCGCUUGAGAGAACUCGGGUGAAGGAACUAGGCAAAAUGGUGCCGUAACUUCGGGAGAAGGCACGCUGACACGUAGGUGAAGUGAUUUACUCAUGGAGCUGAAGUCAGUCGAAGAUACCAGCUGGCUGCAACUGUUUAUUAAAAACACAGCACUGUGCAAACACGAAAGUGGACGUAUACGGUGUGACGCCUGCCCGGUGCCGGAAGGUUAAUUGAUGGGGUCAGCGCAAGCGAAGCUCCUGAUCGAAGCCCCGGUAAACGGCGGCCGUAACUAUAACGGUCCUAAGGUAGCGAAAUUCCUUGUCGGGUAAGUUCCGACCUGCACGAAUGGCGUAAUGAUGGCCAGGCUGUCUCCACCCGAGACUCAGUGAAAUUGAACUCGCUGUGAAGAUGCAGUGUACCCGCGGCAAGACGGAAAGACCCCGUGAACCUUUACUAUAGCUUGACACUGAACAUUGAGCCUUGAUGUGUAGGAUAGGUGGGAGGCUUUGAAGUGUGGACGCCAGUCUGCAUGGAGCCGACCUUGAAAUACCACCCUUUAAUGUUUGAUGUUCUAACGUGGACCCGUUACCCGGGUUGCGGACAGUGUCUGGUGGGUAGUUUGACUGGGGCGGUCUCCUCCUAAAGAGUAACGGAGGAGCACGAAGGUUGGCUAAUCCUGGUCGGACAUCAGGAGGUUAGUGCAAUGGCAUAAGCCAGCUUGACUGCGAGCGUGACGGCGCGAGCAGGUGCGAAAGCAGGUCAUAGUGAUCCGGUGGUUCUGAAUGGAAGGGCCAUCGCUCAACGGAUAAAAGGUACUCCGGGGAUAACAGGCUGAUACCGCCCAAGAGUUCAUAUCGACGGCGGUGUUUGGCACCUCGAUGUCGGCUCAUCACAUCCUGGGGCUGAAGUAGGUCCCAAGGGUAUGGCUGUUCGCCAUUUAAAGUGGUACGCGAGCUGGGUUUAGAACGUCGUGAGACAGUUCGGUCCCUAUCUGCCGUGGGCGCUGGAGAACUGAGGGGGGCUGCUCCUAGUACGAGAGGACCGGAGUGGACGCAUCACUGGUGUUCGGGUUGUCAUGCCAAUGGCACUGCCCGGUAGCUAAAUGCGGAAGAGAUAAGUGCUGAAAGCAUCUAAGCACGAAACUUGCCCCGAGAUGAGUUCUCCCUGAGACUUAGAGUCUCCUGAAGGAACGUUGAAGACGACGACGUUGAUAGGCCGGGUGUGUAAGCGCAGCGAUGCGUUGAGCUAACCGGUACUAAUGAACCGUGAGGCUUAACCUUACAACGCCGAAG
rnacentral:rRNA from 1 species